GAUGUUGUUCAUUUAUUAGGAAUAACCUUGUGAAAUUAAGAAAACUCUCUUUCUGGAAAGUGUUUAAAAUGUUGCCAGGUAGCAUAGGGAGAAACUUAGUUCUCUAGAGAGGAUUUCUGUCCGCUCUCACAGAUAAUGAGAGAAAUCAUCGGGACAUCCUUUGGACUCUCCUUGCAAAAGAGAACCGGAAACUGAACACUUCUCACCUCCUCUCUGGCUCAUCCUUGAGCACCUCCAUUCUAUUCUCAACACUGAGGACAGAAAGAAGCUCUUUUAAGUUUCUGCUGUACAAGAUGAAUCAGCUAUAGUGAAAAGUGAAAGUCACUCUUCUUCAGCCCAACUCUUGAACUGAUCAACCCCAUGAACAACAAUACAAUUGGACAAGAGGAUGAAAGCAACUGAUUCCCAGGAGACAACACAAUGUGGAAACUGAAAUACCAAGAGAUGAAGCAAUUUGCCUGGUGAUUUGAAGUUAAUAAGGAGCAAAACUGGGUCUUGAACCCAAGCUAGCUUGAUACAGUCUGAAAAAUCUCUAGUUCACCUUUUCUUCAUGUCCUGCCACCACAACCUUAGUCAGACUCUCUUCACCUCUUGCUUAGAUUUUUAUAAUGAUCUUCCUGUAGAGUUCCCUGCUUCUAUGUUUAAUCACAGAGAACUUCUAAAUUUGCAAAGUUGAUAUACAAUUUUUUUCUGCUCAGAUUCCUUCAAUUACAUCACCUAUAACCAACUAUGAUCUGCUGUCCACCUGUCUAUUUAGAGUUUUUCCCAGCACUUUCUCCCUGCCUCUUUCUUUCUCUCCCUCAUUCUUUA